rnacentral:tRNA from 2 species
UGGCACAUAGCAAUUCUUAAGACGGUAGCUCGCCGUCAUGGGGUGUCGGGGGUCGGAGGUUCAAAUCCUCUCGUGCCGACCA